rnacentral:rRNA from 1 species
GACGCUGGCGGCGUGCCUAAUACAUGCAAGUAGAACGCUGAAGAGAGGAGCUUGCUCUUCUUGGAUGAGUUGCGAACGGGUGAGUAACGCGUAGGUAACCUGCCUUGUAGCGGGGGAUAACUAUUGGAAACGAUAGCUAAUACCGCAUAACAAUGGAUGACACAUGUCAUUUAUUUGAAAGGGGCAAUUGCUCCACUACAAGAUGGACCUGCGUUGUAUUAGCUAGUAGGUGAGGUAAUGGCUCACCUAGGCGACGAUACAUAGCCGACCUGAGAGGGUGAUCGGCCACACUGGGACUGAGACACGGCCCAGACUCCUACGGGAGGCAGCAGUAGGGAAUCUUCGGCAAUGGGGGCAACCCUGACCGAGCAACGCCGCGUGAGUGAAGAAGGUUUUCGGAUCGUAAAGCUCUGUUGUAAGUCAAGAACGGGUGUGAGAGUGGAAAGUUCACACUGUGACGGUAGCUUACCAGAAAGGGACGGCUAACUACGUGCCAGCAGCCGCGGUAAUACGUAGGUCCCGAGCGUUGUCCGGAUUUAUUGGGCGUAAAGCGAGCGCAGGCGGUUUGAUAAGUCUGAAGUUAAAGGCUGUGGCUCAACCAUAGUUCGCUUUGGAAACUGUCAAACUUGAGUGCAGAAGGGGAGAGUGGAAUUCCAUGUGUAGCGGUGAAAUGCGUAGAUAUAUGGAGGAACACCGGUGGCGAAAGCGGCUCUCUGGUCUGUAACUGACGCUGAGGCUCGAAAGCGUGGGGAGCGAACAGGAUUAGAUACCCUGGUAGUCCACGCCGUAAACGAUGAGUGCUAGGUGUUGGAUCCUUUCCGGGAUUCAGUGCCGCAGCUAACGCAUUAAGCACUCCGCCUGGGGAGUACGACCGCAAGGUUGAAACUCAAAGGAAUUGACGGGGGCCCGCACAAGCGGUGGAGCAUGUGGUUUAAUUCGAAGCAACGCGAAGAACCUUACCAGGUCUUGACAUCCCGAUGCUAUUUCUAGAGAUAGAAAGUUACUUCGGUACAUCGGUGACAGGUGGUGCAUGGUUGUCGUCAGCUCGUGUCGUGAGAUGUUGGGUUAAGUCCCGCAACGAGCGCAACCCCUAUUGUUAGUUGCCAUCAUUCAGUUGGGCACUCUAGCGAGACUGCCGGUAAUAAACCGGAGGAAGGUGGGGAUGACGUCAAAUCAUCAUGCCCCUUAUGACCUGGGCUACACACGUGCUACAAUGGUUGGUACAACGAGUUGCGAGUCGGUGACGGCGAGCUAAUCUCUUAAAGCCAAUCUCAGUUCGGAUUGUAGGCUGCAACUCGCCUACAUGAAGUCGGAAUCGCUAGUAAUCGCGGAUCAGCACGCCGCGGUGAAUACGUUCCCGGGCCUUGUACACACCGCCCGUCACACCACGAGAGUUUGUAACACCCGAAGUCGGUGAGGUAACCUUUUGGAGCCAGCCGCCUAAGGUGGGACAGAUGAUUGGGGUGAAGU